rnacentral:misc_RNA from 1 species
AUGGCACUUAUCAAACAAUUUUCACCUUUUUUGCUAGUUGAUUUUCUCUUGUUGUUUCUCUCUUUGAUUAACUUUCAUCGAAGAUUCAACACGUUUAAUUUAUUUGAACGUUAAACAUACAACUCUUAGCAAUGGAUAUCUAGGUUCUC